UACGGGGGGAGCAAGCGUUGUUCGGAUUUACUGGGCGUAAAGGGCGCGUAGGCGGCGUGACAAGUCACUUGUGAAAUCUCCGGGCUUAACUCGGAGCGGUCAAGUGAUACUGUCGUGCUAGAGUGCGGAAGGGGCUACUGGAAUUCUCGGUGUAGCGGUGAAAUGCGUAGAUAUCGAGAGGAACACCUGCGGCGAAGGCGGGUAGCUGGGCCGACACUGACGCUCAAGCACGAAAGCGUGGGGAGCAAACAGG
rnacentral:rRNA from 1 species